rnacentral:rRNA from 1 species
UACGACUACAUAUCAGGCAUAUCAAUAAGCGGAGGAAAAGAAACUAACAAGGAUUCCCUUAGUAACGGCGAGUGAAGCGGGAAGAGCUCAAAUUUGAAAUCUUCAAGGUUCUACCUUGACGAAUUGUAGUUUAAAGAAGUGUUUUCUGUUAGAUGAGUAGCAAAAGUUCCUUGGAAUGGGACAUCAUAGAGGGUGAGAAUCCCGUAUUUGGUUAUUCAUUCUAGCUUUGUGAUACACUUUCAAAGAGUCGGAUUGUUUGGAGAAUGCAGUCCAAAAUGGGUGGUAAAUUUCAUCUAAAGCUAAAUAUUGGCGAGAGACCGAUAGCGAACAAGUACCGUGAGGGAAAGAUGAAAAGAACUUUGAAAAGAGAGUUAAACAGUACGUGAAAUUGUCAAAAGGGAAGCGUUUGACACCAGUGUUGUUUUUCCGAAAAUCAAUUACGAGUGGCUUGAUUUUGUGUUGUAUUGACCUUAGUCAGCUUUCUUCACUUUUUUCGAGUCUUUCUUAAUGCACUUUUCGGUUAACAAGUCAACAUCAAUUUCUUUUGUUAUAAAAGAGUAUUCGGAAGGUGGCUUUCUUUUCGGAGAAAGUGUUUAUAGCCCUAAUACUUCUACAAUCGGAGAGAUUGAGGUCUGCAGCGUAGAUCCUUCGGGGUUAGAUACACUUGUGCUAAGUUGUAGCUUUUCAUAGACAACUUGUUGACUAUGUUUAGUCAUGCGGCUUACUCGCUUGUGCUAUUUUACCUACGCUUAGGAUGUUGAGUAGCGACAUACGCAC